rnacentral:rRNA from 1 species
GGCGAGAGACCGAUAGCGAACAAGUACCGUGAGGGAAAGAUGAAAAGAACUUUGAAAAGAGAGUUAAACAGUACGUGAAAUUGUUGAAAGGGAAACGAUUAAAGUCAGUCGUACUGACGAGGAAUCAACCUUUAGAGUGUGGAUUCGUAGGAUUCAAAGAGCCUUUGUUCUUGCGAUAUUCGCGUUUUUUUGGCGCACUUUCUCGUGUUGUAGGUUAGCAUCGGUUUUGACCGUUAUAAAA